rnacentral:rRNA from 1 species
UGGGGAAUUUUGGACAAUGGGCGAAAGCCUGAUCCAGCCAUGCCGCGUGAGUGAAGAAGGCCUUCGGGUUGUAAAGCUCUUUUAGUCGGAAAGAAAGAGUUGCAAUGAAUAAUUGUGAUUUAUGACGGUACCGACAGAGAAAGCACCGGCUAACUACGUGCCAGCAGCCGCGGUAAUACGUAGGGUGCGAGCGUUAAUCGGAAUUACUGGGCGUAAAGGGUGCGCAGGCGGUCUUGCAAGUCAGAUGUGAAAGCCCCGGGCUUAACCUGGGAAUUGCGUUUGAAACUACAAGGCUAGAGUGCAGCAGAGGGGAGUGGAAUUCCAUGUGUAGCAGUGAAAUGCGUAGAGAUGUGGAAGAACACCGAUGGCGAAGGCAGCUCCCUGGGUUGACACUGACGCUCAUGCACGAAAGCGUGGGGAGCAAACA